GAUGAAGAACGCAGCGAAAUGCGAUACGUAAUGUGAAUUGCAGAAUUCAGUGAAUCAUCGAAUCUUUGAACGCAUAUUGCGCUCUCUGGUAUUCCGGAGAGCAUGCUUGUUUGAGUAUCAGUAACACCUCAACUUCCAUAUCUUUUUUGAAAUGGGAGUUGGACUUGAGUGAUCCCAACGCUUUUCCUCACCGAAAAGCGGCGGGUUACUUGAAAUGCAGGUGCAGCUGGACUUUUCUCUGAGCUAUAAGCAUAUCUAUUUAGUCUGCCUAAAAAACAGAUUAUUACCUUUGCUGCAGCUAACAUAAAGGAGAUUAGUUCUUGUGCUGACUGAUGCAGGAUUCACAAAGACAGGCUUCGGCCGACUUUGUAAACUCGAUCUCAAAUCAAGUAAGACUACCCGCUGAACUUAAGCAUAUCAAUAAGCGGAGGA
rnacentral:misc_RNA from 1 species